rnacentral:rRNA from 1 species
UACCAGCACCCCGAGUGGUCGGGACGAUUAUUGGGCCUAAAGCAUCCGUAGCCGGUCAUGCAAGUCUUCCGUUAAAUCCAGCCGCUCAACGGUUGGGCUGCGGAGGAUACUACGUGGCUAGGAGGCGGGAGAGGCAAGCGGUACUCAGUGGGUAGGGGUAAAAUCCUUUGAUCCAUUGAAGACCACCAGUGGCGAAGGCGGCUUGCCAGAACGCGCUCGACGGUGAGGGAUGAAAGCUGGGGGGAGCAAACCGGA